UGCUGAGCUUGUAAGACCAUAA
rnacentral:misc_RNA from 1 species